rnacentral:rRNA from 1 species
AUUGAACGCUGGCGGUAUGCUUAACACAUGCAAGUCGAACGGCAGCAUGGUGUGUAGCAAUACACACUGAUGGCGAGUGGCGGACGGGUGAGAAACGCGUAGGAAUUUGCCCUAUAGAGGGGGACAACCCGAGGAAACUCGGGUUAAUACCGCAUAAUACUCUUCGGAGGAAAGGCUGGGUGGUAACAUCUGGCGCUAUAGGAGAAGCCUGCGUCUGAUUAGCUAGUUGGUAGGGUAAAGGCAUACCAAGGCGAUGAUCGGUAGCUGGUCUGGGAGGAAGAACAGCCAAACUGGGACUGAGACACGGCCCAGACUACUACGGGAGGCAGAAGUGGGGAAUAUUGGACAAUGGGCGAAAGCCUGAUCCAGCCAUGCCGCGUGUGUGAAGAAGGCCUUCGGGUUGUAAAGCACUUUGAGCGAGGAGGAAAGGUUGAUGCCUAAUACGUAUCAACUGUGACGUUACUCGCAGAAGAAGCACCGGCUAACUCCGUGCCAGCCGCCGCCGUAACAC